rnacentral:rRNA from 1 species
CAGUCGCCGCGGUAAUGCGUAGGUGGCAAGCGUUGUCCGGAAUUAUUGGGCGUAAAGGGCUCGCAGGCGGUUUCUUAAGUCUGAUGUGAAAGCCCCCGGCUCAACCGGGGAGGGUCAUUGGAAGCUGGGAAACUUGAGUGCAGAAGAGGAGAGUGGAAUUCCACGUGUAGCGGUGAAAUGCGUAGAGAUGUGGAGGAACACCAGUGGCGAAGGCGACUCUCUGGUCUGUAACUGACGCUGAGGAGCGAAAGCGUGGGGAGCGAACAGGAUUAGAUACCCCAGUAGUCCCUGUCUCUUAUAC